GGUGGAUGCCUUGGCACUAAGAGCCGAAGAAAGACGUGAUAAGCUGCGAAAAGCUGCGGGGAGAUGCAAAUAAUCUUUGAUCCGCAGAUGUCUGAAUGGGGAAACCCGGUACGAAGAACUCGUAUCAUCCAUACGCCAAUCCAUAACGUAUGGAGGGGAACCCGGUGAACUGAAACAUCUAAGUAGCCGGAGGAAGAGAAAGAAACAUCGAUUUUGUUAGUAGCGGCGAGCGAAAGCGAAAGAGGCCAAACCGGAGUGCGUGCACUCCGGGGUUCGGACCGCAUUUAAGAUUCAGUGAUUCUAGCAGAAAGGUUUGGGAAAGCCUGCCGGAGAGGGUGAAAGCCCCGUAAGCGAAAGGAGAGCUGACUGAGCGGGAUCCAGAGUACAUCGAGACACGAGAAACCUUGAUGGAAUGAGCGGGGACCACCCCGUAAGCCUAAAUACUACUUAGUGACCGAUAGCGCAUAGUACUGUGAAGGAAAGGUGAAAAGGACCCCGGGAGGGGAGUGAAAGAGAACCUGAAACCCUGUGUUUACAAGCUGUGGAAGUUCUUUAAAUGAACAACCGCGUACUUUUUGUAGAACGGUCCGGCGAGUUGCGGAUACUGGCAAGGUUAAGCACUUAAGGUGCGGAGCCGAAGGGAUACCAAGUCUUAACAGGGCGUUAAGUCAGUGUACGCAGACCCGAAACCGGGUGAUCUAUCCAUGUCCAGGUUGAAGCCGCCGUAAAAGGCGAUGGAGGACCGAACCCACAUCCGUUGAAAAGGGUGGGGAUGAGGUGUGGAUAGCGGAGAAAUUCCAAUCGAACCCGGAGAUAGCUGGUUCUCCUCGAAAUAGCUUUAGGGCUAGCCUCAUACAAGUCUGCCGGAGGUAGAGCACUGAAUUCCCG
rnacentral:rRNA from 1 species